CUGAAAACUAACAACACCUAUCCCACUUCCGCAGGCGAAACCUUCCGAAAAAGUUCUCCCUUUCAUUUCGAGACCAUCGUCACACUCACAAAACACAAGAUUUUCCCAAAAUUUUCCACUCUUUCACCAAUAUUUUGUGCAGACCUUGGUCUUCUCCCUCUUUCAUCGAAAGAAACCUACAAACGAAAAAAUCGAUACCAUCAGUCAAGACAGUGGCAACCGUUUUUUAUAUCAUCGCACUCACAAUUAGGACAAUCGCCGCGUUGAGAUCAUCGCACUUCUCCAAACUCAUUUCCUUCUGUCAAUAUAUUGCGUCAUCUACCCAAAGCAUAACUACACUAAUGUAAGUGGUGGGAGUCAAGGAGACAAUAUGGGCUUUAGCCUAUAUUAUUGUUGGGCUUCAAGAAAUGAUUUAGGCCCCAGAUUGGAUCUGUUCUAACUGAGGUGAAGUGUGGUAGAUGGCAUAUGUGGUCUUAAUGAGGCCACGUUGCAGAUGGAGAACCAGAUGAAGAAGCUUCGAUCUUCUUUCUACUCAAAUGAACAAAAAAUGAUAUGAAAAAUUGGUUUGAAAGAAAAUUACCUCUCUGUCUCUCUUAGCUAAAUAUUUUAAUCUUUCUUCAUUGGCAAGUAAUGAAGAAGUGAAGGAAGCAUGCAAAAACAAUAGGAGAAAGAGAAGGAAGAAAGAAAUACAUAGCUUUACGUGGUUCAGCAGAUUGCCUACAUCCACGAGACAAAGGAGCUCAAUCAAUUUUAUUGAAGAAAUCUUGUAGUACAGAUAAGUCUCUCACACUAUUCGAAUGAAAACUCUCUUUGUUCUUCAUCUUUUAUAUAGAUAGGAAGUUACAUAUACUAGAGAGUAAAAUUUUAAAAGUAGAAUGUAAAUGUUGAUUUCACUUGAGUAGUAACAAACUUCUACAAUUGUAGGUUGUUGUACUAAAAAAAUUAGUAUAUUAUAGAUUGUAUUCCAUAAUUUGUGGAAGCCUAAAAUUUGCUCUAAGAUCUUAGAUAUAUUAUGUACUUAUAAGGCUUUAAUGAUCUAUAGUUUAAAUCUUGAUUAUUGCUUAUAAUAUUUUCAUUUCUUCUCAUGUGUCAGAUGAGUUCUUAUGCAUUGAUGGGUUCUAGGCCAAGUUACACCAUGUUUGGUCAAACUUUGUCAAAGAGUGCUUAAGACGAUACUGCUUGAGAUAUCAGGACUUCUACAUACUCAACCAAGCAAUCACAUUAAAUCAUGCUUGAAUCCAUUGUGAACACCACACGCCCACUAAUACCACAGGUUACUGUACGAUUUUGAGGGACAUUGAUCUGGUUUACGGUGGGGGCAACAUAGGACUGAUGGGUUUAAUCUCACAAGUUGUUCAUGAUGGCGGUCGACACGUCAUUGGGUAUGCCCACAUUUAAAAAAGAAAUUACUUCCAUAUGGUCCCUUUAAGGUUGUUUUUCUUAUUCUAUUUUUGGGUUUCUUCAACAUUACAAUUUCACUACCGACUUUUGACAUGUUACUGUUCUGGUCGAGAGUUAUACCCAAGACACUCAUGCCUCGAGAGGAGAAGAGGAAUGAAUCGUACACUACUUGGAUUGAAGAAACAUCCAACAAGAAGGGUUAGGGACAUAAAUGUCGUGUUUUAAUACCAAAGGGAUUAAACAAAAAGGGGAAUUUGGAGUAGAAACAAAAUAUGAACACAUAAAUAAAGAAAGUAAAGUUUGUUUCAUAAGGUAAGUCUUGUAAGUAGGGGACUACUAUUUUCUUUGUAUAAAAGCUUCUUUUCCCACUAUUUGUAGAAUUUGGUUUUUGGGUUGUUGGUGGUUUAUGUUUUCUUUGAAUCAGAACAUUGAAGAAUUGAGGCAUUCGCUUUUUGUUGCGAGUCUAGGGUUGGAAAAAAUGAUAGUUGUAAUUCAAGAGGAGCUAAGAAAGAGAGAUGAAUAGUUGUGAGCGAUAAAUUAUAAGUUUGGAAUCUUGAAAGUUUAUUUUGAUGUAAAUUCACUUGGUUACACUAAAUGUGCAUUGAAUUCAAUUU